rnacentral:rRNA from 1 species
AGAGUUUGAUCCUGGCUCAGAACGAACGCUGGCGGCAGGCUUAAUACAUGCAAGUCGAACGGCUGUAGCAAUACAGCAGUGGCAGACGGGUGAGUAACACGUGGGAACCUACCUAGGGGUACGGAAUAACUCAGGGAAACUUGUGCUAAUACCGUAUACGACCUCAGGGUGAAAGAUUUAUCGCCCCUAGAUGGGCCCGCGCUGGAUUAGCUAGUUGGUGGGGUAAAAGCCUACCAAGGCGACGAUCCAUAGCUGGUCUGAGAGGAUGAUCAGCCACACUGGGACU